GGGGGGGGGGGCAACAAACAAGGAAACAAGAUAAUUAUACAUGGAAGUGAGUUCCAGAAAGGAGAAAAUCAACUCUAGGUAAGUAACUGGGGAGGUCUCUGAAGAUGGACCAUGGCGCUGAGCCUGAAGGAUGAAGGAAGCCAGAGCUGGGACGGCAGCCUGGGUAGGGGGUCAGUGGAGACAGGAGCUGGGUGGCUUCCUGUGAGCUGCCCUCUUCUAGGUACCAGGGGCACAGCCAGGGACAGGACAUCACAGCCCAAGGGAGCUGACACUCCAGUGGGGAAGUUUAUCCCAAGGAUGAACAGGACUAGAAUGUCAAGGUGGGCAGCUCUAAAUUGCUUUUUCUUCCUCCUUGUUCUCCAUUUGCCAAGUUUCCCGCCAUAAGCACAGUUUUCCAGUCAGGCAGAAAGCCAAUAAGUUCUUUCUUAACCUCUUGAGAUCCUUUCCUGGAGUCCCCAGCCUGCCCCAGCUCUCCUCAUCUGCCAGGCUGGAAGCCCGAUGGAGGCCCCAGGGUACCGAUGGGGCGCGUGGGUGCCUGGGCGUGUGCCCUGGUGCUUGAGGCGGGAGCUGCCUUCUGCCUGAUUCGAUCUGAAGGCAGGUGGUCAUUUCACACCCCAGGGAGCAGGGUCUGCUUCUGUCUCCUGCAGGGCACGGUGCUUAGGAGCCAAGCGUCACCUAAUUUUGCCCCAUCUGCUAGCCAUCUCCUGUUUUCACACUUCAAUUUAUUUUCCGUAAUUGCUGUGGGGCGACGUUGGGCUGAAAAUCAUUUUCUUUCCAAAACAAAGAGCCAAGAGAAUCAGACUUCCUCUUCCUCAGGAGGGGGGCCUCAGAGGACAGAGGGCUCUAAGCAAUGCCAUGUGAGAGUAGCUGCAGGGAUGGGCCAUUUCUCACAAUACAACUGUUUGUGAAACAGCUGUUCGUAUGACAACAGUCAUACACAAUGAUUGGUCCUGUGGGUGGAAUGUUGCAUCUUUGGGGAACAUUGCACAGGAAGUAACAACUCCCUGGCAGGGAGAGACCAUGAUCACCAUUGAUUGAGCACCAACUGUAUACCAGAUGUUGGAUCCCCAGCCUAAAGAACUUUUUUUCUUUGCAUCAAAGCAGAAAGAUAAUUUUAGGUGGUUUUUCAAAUGGAAUAGGAGCCUGAGUCAGCUGUGAGCAUGAGGCUGGCCUCCAAAAGGUACUUGAACAUUCAUUAAAUUAAUGUGUCAACAUCAUGCCUCUUCCCUUCGCUUCUCUUGGCUCUGGCCCUCCCUGACUGGUCCCUGUGCCACCUCCUUGCCCAUCAAUCCUGGUUUUACACUUUUUGAUCCAGUGAUGCUGUACUGCUACAGGUCCUGGCUUCACCCCGUCACCUCCAGGCCUCUGCUCAUUCUGUUCCCUUUGAAAUGCCCUUCCCUCCCCUGCUCCCUGCCCUUCACCUUAACCCAGCUUACACCUGCCCAAUCAUGUCCAUCAUAAGAGAACCUUCUCUGAGAGCUGUAGGCCCAGCUGAGAGCCUGUCUCAUACAAUUCCCAUGAUAUUCAGUACAAUCUCAUAAUGUCCCAUGAACCCGGUAUCUUGUUUCCACGUUGCAUUAUCAUUAUGUUUACUUGAUGAUUUCCCCCCAUAAACUGUGAACUACUUGAGAAUGAGGGCUGUGUCUCGUUAAUUUCUCUCUCUGAGCACUUAGCACAGAGCCUGGCUCGGGGAAAUCUCCCAAUGUUGAGUGAAUGGAUGAAUGAAUGACUCAUUAUAGGUCUGAACUCAGAAAACAGGGACUAAAUGACAGUUGACCCCCGUGUCCUGGGCCCGAGUAAACUUCUGGGGAGGUGAUCAAAAAGUGUUCGCGUGUUGGCAGUGGGCAAGGACGUGCUGCCGGGUACACGCUAGGUGCUAGGCAAGGGCCACGCUGUGAGAUGUCCCUCUCUGGGGCGUGUGCAGCCCCCCGGGUCUGGAGUUCCGGCUGGGAGAGGGGGCGUGCGACUUCCAAGGGGAAUUGGGUUAUUGCCCUCUUGCAUGAAUUCACAAUACUAGUUUUCUUUCACACUUUUAUUUUUGGGAAGGAAAAGUACUUUGCCUGAAGGCUUGGCUUCCCGGGAGUUUCCAGAAACUGAUUUUCUAGAAGUUGCCCAAUUCUGCUAGAAUCCUUGUCAUUGUUUAAAACUGACUUCUGCCAAGGGAAAGGAAGAGAAUCUCAGAGAAUCCCUGGUCUGAACCUCAGAGAUCGUGGACUCUAACAUUCCUCCCCUGUAAGGACUUCUAACACAUCUGGCCCAGUGAUCUUCCUGCCUCCGCUCAUGGGGACCGAUGACUUCAGGCAGAGAAUCUGGACAGAAGGUUUGCAUCUCCGCAUCCCAGACCCCCUUCGAGAAAGAAUAGGAACAGCAAACAUGACCCCAGAGUACCCUCCCAGCCACUUCCAGGAGAGGAGUGUGGUGGGGGCUUCCUACAACAGGCAGCUGCUUUCUCUGCUCCCCACCGUCACCUCUUAUGUGUCACAGCUCUAAAGGGGGUUAAAUAACCCCUCCCCCAGCCAGUGCUCAUCUGGUCUUCACGGUGACCUCGUUAGGCCAACGAGGCAGGGAUCAUUUUCAGAUGGGGCUUAAAGCUGCUUAGUGACCUUCCCAAGGUCACAGAAUAAGGCAAACCAGACUUUGUCCCGUAGCCCUGACUGCCCACCCACAUCCAUCCCAAUAUACCUGGACUUAUGCCAUGGGCCAGACUAAUACUUAGCAAUUGGGUACCAGUCUUAUGUACCUAUGUGCUGUCGUGUUUCUAUACCAUUUUUAUAAAGUCUCAGCUCUCUUAAAAUCGUAGCAUUCAUCAGCAUACAAAAACUGUUAGGAAUUUCCAAUUCAGUCCAGUUAAGAGGUUAUAGUAGGUCCUAGCUAGAUUAACCAAGGAUUAUCCUUCAAAUAAAGUAAGAACAUCUCCUGGGCGGGGGUCUGCAUUAUGAUGUCACAAGACUGCACUGUAGGGUAAAGACCCCUGGCCUCAUCUAUUCAUUUAACAAACGUGGGUUGAAUGUCUACCCGUGGCCCCGCCCUGCACUAGGACCUAACGAGAGACAAGACCCAGAAUCUGCCUUUGAAGGAGGGGGUCAGUUCAGGAAUAUGGACUCUGUCGUCAGGACACAGAAGAGCCUUUGCAGGACUAAAUCGGGCCAGAUUGUCCCUUUAGCUGUGGUGUGGAGAAGGGGUCAGAGGUGUAGGCGGGAGCUCCGGAGACCCUGCUGGUCUCGGUGACACAGGUGCGUGACAGUGGUGGCCUACACCAGAGCAGUGGCUGUGGAGACAGAUUCUCCAGCCAUUCAGGCAGUGGAAUUGACAGCACCUAGCUCGUGGCUCAGGAAUUUUGCAGCACCUGUCCGUAUACUCUGCUUCCAGGACUUGUACAUGUCCGUUACUCCCACUUUACUGCAAACUCCCCAAGAAGGCCUGGUAAGCAGGCUGCUGCCUAAUUCAUCUUUGUAUCGCCAGGGCCUGACUCCAUGCUGGACACAUAGGAGGCAUUCUGUAACUAGGUUAGUUGCGUGCAUGAAUAAGCACAUUGUAUUCAAACUUCACCAAGCAGCAACUCUCAAAACUCUUUGAGCCUCAGGCUCCUCGGGAGGGUUGAGGUCUCUUCUGUGCCUUAGGAAUGUCAGACAUCUGCCUGUCUGCUUUUUUCCUGCUAAAUUCUCCCCACUGAUUGCUCCCUGCCUCCAGGAAUACUGCAGGACACGAUGCAAAGAUUCCGAAGGAGAAAGGGCAAAAGCCUUUCUCCAAGCCAGCAACCAGUCCUGUCUCUUUUCUCUGACCUCCAAAUCCAUCCUUGGGAGCUAGUGGCCACGAUGGCCGCCAUCAACCCUGCCCAUCGACUCUUCCCUCACGCCCCCAGAGGGAUCGAAAUGUCAUCGGAGCGUGCUACUCCCUGGCCUCCCGUGCCACUUCGCAUGAAAACCAGCCUCCUUUCCACGUCUCCGGUGCUCUACAGGCGGUUUCACCCCUCCGCUGAUGCACACCUGUUCCCUUCUGUUCCUCAAAGGAGUUGUUUUAUAUGCAAACCCCAUGACCCAGCAACUCCAUCGCUAGUCUAUACUAAACAGAAAUGUACACAUAUAUCCCUCAGAAGAUGGGUUCAAGAGUACUCAUAGCAGUGUUAUUAUUUUCUUUGGUGAGGAAGAUUGGCCCUGACCUAACAUCUGUGCCCAUCUUCCUCUAUUUUGUAUGUGAGACACUCCACAGCAUGGCUUGGUGAGCAGUGUGCAGGUCCAGGCCCGGGAUCUGAACCCCUGAACCCCGGGCCACUGAAGUGGUGCAUAUGAAGUUAACCACUGCAGCCGGCCCCGGCAGUGUUAUUCUUAAUAGCCAAAACAACCCAAAUGUCCAUGAGGAGGAGAAUGGAUAAAUAGUGGAAUUUGUCAACAAGAAUGAAAGAACAACAUGGAUGAGUCUUAAAACCAUAGUGUGGAGCAAAGAAGCCAGAUACAGAAGAGUGCAUACUAUGGGGUUCUGAGGCACAAAGUUCAGAAGCAAUCUAUGAUAUUCAAAGCUAAGAAGUUCAAAAACACUUCUGUCUAGGGAGGCAGAAGUCAGGAUGGUGGUCAGCCUGGGAGGCAGGUGGUGGAUGGGAGGGGCGCAGGGGGUCCCCUGGGGUGCCAGUUAUGUUUUGUUUCUUAUGUGGGUCUGGUUACACAGUGUGUAUUCACUCUCUGAUAGUUCACCAAUUUGUACAUUUUUCUUGGUGUCUGUUCAAUAAAGUAUUAGAAAAUAAAAGAGCUGCUCUGCGUCCUGCCACAUGGCUUUUGCACACACCCUUUGCUCCGUCCAGAAUUCUCCACCCUCUCUUAGUCUUUCCCUCGUGAAUUCCUACGGGUUGUUCAGACCCAGCUCAGGCCUUC